GUCUAAUCUGCCCACUGAUAUAAUAUUAAAGGGCUGCAGUAUUUUGACUGUACAAAGGUAGCAUAAUCAUUAGUCUUUUAAUUGAAGACUUGUAUGAAUGAUUGGAUGAAAUAUAAACUGUCUCUAAUAUUAUUAGUUAGAAUUUAAUUUUUUUAUUAAAAAGUAAAAAUAAAUUUAAAAGACGAGAAGACCCUAUAGAGUUUUAUAAUUAAUUUAAUUGAAAUUAUUUAUAAAGAUAAUUUUAAAUUAAUAAAUUAAAAUUAAGUUAAUUAUUUUGUUGGGGUGAUAAAAAAAUAAAAAUAACUUUUUUUAAUAUAUAUAUAUAUAUAUAUAUAUAUAUAUAUAUAUAUAUUGUAAACAAAAAUAAAUGAUUUUUUGAUCCAGAAUUUUUGAUUAUAAGAAAAAAUUACCUUAGGGAUAACAGCGUAAUUUUUUUUUUUAGUUCAAAUAAGAAAAAGAGUUUGCGACCUCGAUGUUGGAUUAAGGAAAAAUUUAAAUGCAAAAGUUUAAAAUUUUG
rnacentral:rRNA from 1 species